rnacentral:rRNA from 1 species
UACGUAGGGGGCGAGCGUUAUCCGGAAUUACUGGGUGUAAAGGGUGCGUAGGCGGAACAGCAAGUCGGAAGUGAAAGGCGCGGGCUUAACCCACGAACGGCUUUCGAAACUGCUGAUCUAGAGUACAGGAGAGGAAAGCGGAAUUCCUAGUGUAGCGGUGAAAUGCGUAGAUAUUAGGAAGAACACCAGUGGCGAAGGCGGCUUUCUGGACUGAAACUGACGCUGAGGCACGAAAGCGUGGGGAG